rnacentral:misc_RNA from 1 species
GAAAUGCGAUAAGUAAUGUGAAUUGCAGAAUUCAGUGAAUCAUCGAAUCUUUGAACGCACAUUGCGCCCCCUGGUAUUCCGGGGGGCAUGCCUGUUCGAGCGUCAUUUCACCACUCAAGCCUCGCUUGGUAUUGGGCAACGCGGUCCGCCGCGUGCCUCAAAUCGACCGGCUGGGUCUUCUGUCCCCUAAGCGUUGUGGAAACUAUUCGCUAAAGGGUGUUUACGCCGUAAAACAACCCCAUUUCUAAGGUUGACCUCGGAUCAGGUAGGGAUACCCGCUGAACUUAA